rnacentral:misc_RNA from 1 species
GUAUUGAUUGCGUGUUAUCGCAAAAAUGGGGGUCAUUCUACACUUUUAAAAUAGGGGUUUGUGUGAAAACGCAAGCCCCCCUCCCGGAUCGGUUUGAUCCCAAAGGGUUGCCCACGCGGUGGUGCACAAAAGGGUGAGAUGGAUUUUAUGUGAGAGGACGCGCUCCGGCGUGCACGACCUUUGUGUUAAAAGUCAGCGACAGCCCUCACGCGCCUCACACAUUUUGUACGAUAAUGAUCCUUCCGCAGGUUCACCUACGGAAA